GGCAAAUGGAAAUGCCACAUGCAGCAGUUUCUACAAAGUAGCCAGUACAGUUCAUUAAGUUACUGACACAGUAGGAUGGAGUAAACCCACCCAAAAGCCUCAAUACUCAAAGGAUCUGAGCAAUCACAAGAAGUUCAAGAGAUCACUCUGCUCCUCCUGCUGAAGAUCCUGCUAGCAGUGGACCUUUGCUCAUCUACAGGAAAGCUGGUAGAUUACUUCAGUCAAGAGGAAAAAACUAUCUUGGGAGAUACAAUAAUUCAGUCCAGGCUGGAAGGAAAAUGCUAGGAGGAAAAUGCCCAGGAAGAUAACUGAGAAGAACACUGUGUUCCAUGAGCAUACCCAGGAAUGUUAUUCCAACCUAAAAGUAUCUGCCAGCUUUAACAUUUUGACAUCCUAAUCCUGGGAAAUGAAGAAUAAAUGGACACUUGCAGCCACUUUGUUGAGCUGUGCUCUGCUCCCACAGAGCGUGGCAAGGAUUUUAGAAUUUUCUGACUUAUUCUGGUCUAGGUUGAUGCACACACUUGAGUGCUGCUACACCUGGAUGUGCCAGUGGGACCUGCCCUUAAAUUCAGGCCUGCAAGGUCCAACAGCAGAGGGAAGGGCUAAAUGUGGUGUGCAACAGUGAUUUCCUGAUGCUUUGUAUGAAAAAAAAAAGAGAUGGGACAGGACAAGAGGUAAGGAGAGGGGGGAAAAUCCAGAAGCAGUAGAAGAUACAGAAACCCAGCACAGAAAGAGAAUUCAGUUUGAACUUUUGAAUGCAGUUUUUUCCUUUGAGUUUUACUUCUUUCAUGCUUAGUAAAGUGAGAACUUUGAUCAAAGGUUUUCCUCAAGCUGUGCCAUGCAGCUAUCCAAUAAGGUAUAAAACGAUGCUAAUUUUGACCUAAUAGCAUUUUUUACCAGUGACUUCUUUCACCACCUGAAACCUUUAUCCCCCUGCCAAAAAUAGUCAAAAUUAGAGGGUAAAUUGAAAUUUUCCAGGGCAUGAAGGGAAUGUGAUGUCUCAUGAACAAAGUUUUAUCACAUAAACUUCAAUUCCACUAGAAAAUUAAGCUGGGAAAAAAGAAUGAGGCGUUCAGCAGUUUUCCCUGUAGUAAACACAUUUAGCAGCCAUAAAUACAAAGAAGAAACAAGAAGAAUUUUGCAUAAUUGACCGAGGAAACACGAUACCAUAAAUUCAGCCUCACAGCCAACACGCUAAGUUACAAGUUUGGUAGGAAAAAUUCUCUCAAGUUCUAUUCAUAGUUGUAUAUUUCAGAGCCUUUCAAGGCAGGGAUACCCAGUAUUUGCUAUAAUGGGACCAUAAAAAGAAGUUUUACAUCUACUGCAUGGCUGAAAGCAGCUCUAACUGUAGCAUCAGGGACUUGAUGGAUCCCUGCAAACACAGCUUGGGGAAGGGAAUGCUACCAAAUAAUUAGAGAUGUUGUCAAAUGUGUGAAGAAUGGAACUGACUUCCAAAUAUAAAAUUUACUUAAAAUCUUCUAAAGGAAGGGCUAAACAGCACAGCAUUGGGAAGCAGUGUUAUUUUACCAGCGAUGCCAUUUGAAACUGAUAUUCAGAUAGAUGCAGACAGCUGACACCGGGCUAUCACACACAGCAAUGUGAAACUCUUCCGCAGAUCCAGGUGAUACUGUUUUCCUUGUUUGUGCUCUUUCUGGCCAUGGGCACGGUGGCUUAGCCUCAAUCUGGAAAAGAUGUAUCUGAUGCUCAUUGGCAAGGUCAAACUACCAGAAGAGCUGGCAGGGCCCACGUUAGAUCCAUCUGCUCAGGCAUAUACACAAAUUAUUUGGCAAGGCACGGAAAAUAUCACAGCAAUUUUGGAUCAGACUGCUUUCAGAUUGCCAGGUGGAAGUUGAGAGAUUUUGAUCAUCUGUUGUUCACAAAAAUCUUGUGACUCUUCCUUCUGAACACAGACCUUGCUACAGAGACCCACACCUCAGGGACGAAUCCCCACUCGCACGGGGGAUGAAUUAAAUUCUUUCUCUUCACUCACCCAUCCCAAUGGGGUAAUAAUAAUGUGCCUUCUGAGGACUGCUGUUCAGAAGCCAUUUAAUUUAAUAUGAAAAAAAAAUUAUUUCAUCCACCUCUAAUUUGGAAUAAAAGUUUUUUAAUACAAAACCAAAUUUACCUAGAACAAUCUGAAUUAUUUUUUCAGUUCAGCAUCUCUGUUUAUACAG